CCGCGAGGUAGAGCAAAUCUCAAAAAAACAAUCUCAGUUCAGACUGCAGGCUGCAACUCGCCUGCACGAAGUCGGAAUUGCUAGUAAUCGUAGGUCAGCAUACUACGGUGAAUACGUUCCCGGGCCUUGUACACACCGCCCGUCAAACCAUGAGAGUUGGCAACACCCGAAGUCGAUAGUCUAACCGCAAGGAGGACGCCGCCGAAGGUGGGGUUGAUGAUUAGGGUUAAGUCGUAACAAGGUAAC
rnacentral:rRNA from 1 species